rnacentral:lncRNA from 1 species
UCUCUGUUGUUGCAGGGUAUAACCAGGAGUUGCGAAGUGGAUGUAGGUGAUCAUGUCUCAAUCUAGUUCAUCUUUGCUUUUUGCUUCUGCUUUGUGCUAUCCGUCUUCCCGUACCUCAAUUCUAGCUGCCCAUCUUCUAGAGGCUGCAUGAAAAUGCAAGCAAAAGUCGGAAACAAACUAACGAAGAGAUAUAAAGAAAGAAAAAGUGCCAUUUGGCUGCAUUGAAUUGCUCUUCAGAACAAUGUUGUAUAUUAUAUUACAAUGACACAGAUUAUAACCAGAGUAGAGCUAUUUUCUCAUUAAGAUGAAUAUAAUGAGAAUGAUAAAUGAGUUCAAAUAAAACCUAUUCAAAACACACUUCUAAGCUUUCUAUCUCCUCCUUAGAUGCUGUAUAUAGCCUUGUUUCAUGAUGUCAUUAUCUCUUUGUGAAAUUAAAAAAAAAUUAGCUGACAGUUUAAGAAAUCUGUCACAACACUUGUAUACUACAAUCUCUUUAAUUUAGGAGACAUUUUCCUGUCACAGCACUGUUCCGUGAGUACUUAAUCUGUUUGCCAUUGAGUUUAGGGUAAUUUGGAAUUACUAAAGAUGAUGAGUAGUAUAACAGACAGAAAGAGUCAGCUGAUGUAGGUUCUAGUUUCAGCCCUGUAUUAGUUUCCUACUGCUGCUGUAACAAAUUAACACAAAUUUAAGGGCUUAAAACAAUACAAUUUUUUAAUACUACAAUUCUAUAGAUUAUAGAUAUGACACAGGUCUCACAGAGUCUAACCCCGUCCUGGUCUUGUGGGCCCCAUUCUUCCAUCCUCAAAGUCAACAAUUUUAUAUCUCUUUGACCAUUCUUUCUCAGUCAUACACUCUGUGGCUCUUCCCUCAGCUGUGAAAGGUACUUUUAAGGACUCAUGUAAUUAGAUAGUGCCCACAUAGAUCAUCCAGGAUUACCUCUGCCUCUCAAGGUUGUUAACUUUAAUCACAACCUGCAAAGUCCCUUUUUUCAUGUUUGGUGGUAACAUAUUCACAGGUUCUAGGAAUUAGACAUGAACAUGUUUGGCAGAGGGCAUUAUUUUGCCUACUACCAGAUUCAUUCAUAUCAGUUUAUGACCUUAGUUAAUCAUUAAGCACUUUAACUCUUAGCUUCCUCUUCAGCAAAAUGGUGAUAAUUAAUCACUAUGCUGAUUAAGGUGGCCUUCCUUUAUUUUAUCUUCUUUGUCCCUUUUCCUAAGAUUUGUCAUAAAGUGUAAGGUAAUGAAGGUGAAGUUAUUUGCAUUUUAGAAAUCAGGUCAUAUUAGUCCCAGAUUUGUAUUGUAAUUUGCUAACUUAUUCAUUAAUUCAUAUACUCACUAAGUAAAUGUUGAAUACUUACUAUAUGUCCAAUGCUAUUGUACAUUUUACAGACAUGGUGGUGAACAAAUAGACAAGGUACUGACUGUUGUAGAGAUUUAAUGGAAAGAUAGGUCAUGUAACUGAAAGAACACUGGGCAGCUACUUCAGUUAGGGUGAACAAGGACUGCUUCUCUGAGGAGGAAUGCUGAAGGGUAACAUACUCAAUUUCCAGGAAUGGCAAGGAGAUCUGAAAUAAGAGAUCUUGCAAGACAGUAGGAAGAGCAUUUCAGGAACACAGAAAGGAUCUAAGAUGGAUUCAAGUUUGGUAAGUUCCAGGAACAGCUAGAAGGCCAUGUAAUUGAACAUGGAAAUGUAGGCAAGUAAUUUGGUCAAGUAAUUAAAUGAGAAAUGGUGAGGAAGAGAACAUAUGUUCAUGUUUACCAAGUCCAUAUAUAAGUUUCCCUUUCCCUUUUUUAUUGUUCUAAAAAGAUAACUGACAAAAUCAUCUUCCUGGGUUUUUGUCGUUGUUGUUUUAAUGUAGAUAAGCGGUCCCCAACAUUUUUGGCACCAGAGACCCGUUUAAUGGAACACAAUUUUUCCACGGACAGGUAUUGAAGGGAUGGUUUCAGGAUGAAACUGUGCCACCUCGGAUAAUCAGGCAUGAGCUAGAGUCUUGUAAGGAGAGUGCAACCUAGACCUCUCUCAUGUGCAGUUCACAAUAGGGUUCCCGCUCCUAUGAGAAUCUAAUGCCUGGCUGAUGUGACAGGAGGCGGAGUUCAGGCCAUAAGGCUCGCCUGUCGCUCACUUCCUGCUGUGCCGCGGGUUCCUAACAGGCCGGGGACUGGUACUGGACUCACGGCCGGGGAGUUGGCGACUCCAGAUCUAAAUGAUAAACUAAUAUGGUAAUAAACUAAUAUAGUAAUAAACUAUCCUUUGGUGAAUUUUGAGAAAAACAAGCAUAAUUAAAACAAAUAUUUCAGUACUUUCAGUGCAAAACCUAGUAAGAGAGACCUAAGAAUUCUUGGUCUUUAUCAGCUAUGGUCUGAGGAUGGAAAAAUGAUUUAAGGCCGGGCGCGGUGGCUCACGCCUUUAAUCCCAGCACUUUGGGAGGCGGAGGCGGAUGAAUCACGAGGUCAGGAAAUCGAGACCAUCCUGGCUAACAUGGUGAAACCCCAUCUCUACUAAAAAUACAAAAAAAAAAAAAAAAAAAUAGCUGGGCAUGGUGGCGGGGGCCUGUAGUCCCAGCUACUCUGGAGGCUGAGGCGGGAGAAUGGCCUGAACCCGGAUGACAGUGAACCCGGGAGCUCGCAGUGAGCCGAGAUGACGCCACUGCACUCCAGCAUGGGCGACAGAGCGAGACUCCAUCUCAAAAAUAUAUAUAUAUAUAUGUAUAUAUGAUCUAAGUAUUUAUCUAAAUAUAUAUAUAUAUAGUUCAUCAUUACUCUUAAAUAGGAAGUUUAGCUGGGCAUUACAUUCUAGUUGGGUACGUUCGCAUUAAUACAUAAAGAUACUGUUUCAUUAUCUUCUGGCAUCAGUUUUACUGAAGAAAAUAAAAUUUUGUUCCUUAGUAAUCAGCCUUUCUCAAUUUUUAAAGAUAUUAUAUUCUCAUUACUU